rnacentral:rRNA from 1 species
AUUGAACGCUGGCGGCAGGCUUAACACAUGCAAGUCGAGCGAGCGGCAGACGGGUGAGUAAUGUCUGGGAAACUGCCUGAUGGAGGGGGAUAACUACUGGAAACGGUAGCUAAUACCGCAUACCCACAGAUGUGCCAAGAUGGUAUUCGCUAGUAGGUGGGGUAAUGGCUCACCUAGGAGACGAUCCCUCGCUGGUCGGAGAGGAGGACCAGCCACACUGGAACUGAGACACGGUCCAGAAUCCUACGGGAGGCAGCAGUGGGGAAUAUUGCACAAUGGGCGCAAGCCUGAUGCAGCCAGGCCGCGUGUGUGAAGAAGGCCUUCGGGUUGUAAAGCACUUUCAGCGAGGAGGCGUUACUCGCAGAAGAAGCACCGGCUAACUCCGUGCCAGCAGCCGCGGUAAUUC